AGCAGCCGCGGUAAUUCCAGCUCCAAUAGCGUAUAUUAAAGUUGUUGCAGUUAAAAAGCUCGUAGUUGAAUUUCGGGGUUAGUAGGUUGGUCGUGCCACUGGUACGUACUGGUCUCACUGAUUCCUCCUUCCUGAUGAACUGUAAUGCCAUUAAUUUGGUGUUGCAGGGAAACUGGACUGUUACUUUGAAAAAAUUAGAGUGUUUAAAGCAAGCUAACGCUUGAAUACAUUAGCAUGGAAUAAUGAAAUAGGACGUUCGAUCCUAUUUUGUUGGUUUCUAGGAUUGACGUAAUGAUUAAUAAGGAUAGUUGGGGGCAUUAGUAUUCAAUUGUCAGAGGUGAAAUUCUUGGAUUUAUUGAAGACUAACUACUGCGAAAGCAUUUUGCCAAGGAUGUUUUCAUUAAUCAAGAACGAAAGUUAGGGGAUCGAAGACGAUCAGAUACCGUCGUAGUCUUAACCAUAAACUAUGCCGACUAGGGAUCGGAUGAUGUUAAUUUUUUAAUGACUCAUUCGGCGCCUU
rnacentral:rRNA from 1 species